CUAUAGCUCAGCUGGUUAGAGUGCACCCCUGAUAAGGGUGAGGUCACAAGUUCAAGUCUUGUUAG
rnacentral:tRNA from 2 species